rnacentral:rRNA from 1 species
AUUGAACGCUGGCGGCAGGCCUAACACAUGCAAGUCGAGCGGAUGAAGGGAGCUUGCUCCUGGAUUCAGCGGCGGACGGGUGAGUAAUGCCUAGGAAUCUGCCUGGUAGUGGGGGAUAACGUCCAGAAACGGGCGCUAAUACCGCAUACGUCCUGAGGGAGAAAGUGGGGGAUCUUCGGACCUCACGCUAUCAGAUGAGCCUAGGUCGGAUUAGCUAGUUGGUGGGGUAAAGGCCUACCAAGGCGACGAUCCGUAACUGGUCUGAGAGGAUGAUCAGUCACACUGGAACUGAGACACGGUCCAGACUCCUACGGGAGGCAGCAGUGGGGAAUAUUGGACAAUGGGCGAAAGCCUGAUCCAGCCAUGCCGCGUGUGUGAAGAAGGUCUUCGGAUUGUAAAGAACUUUAAGUUGGGAGGAAGGGCAGUAAGUUAAUACCUUGCUGUUUUGACGUUACCAACAGAAUAAGCACCGGCUAACUUCGUG